rnacentral:rRNA from 1 species
AUUGAACGCUGGCGGCAGGCCUAACACAUGCAAGUCGAGCGAGCGGCGGACGGGUGAGUAAUGUAUGGGGACUGCCCGAUAGAGGGGGAUAACUACUGGAAACGGUGGCUAAUACCGCAUACUAUCGGAUAACCCAUAUGGGAUUAGCUAGUAGGUGGGGUAAAGGCUCACCUAGGCGACGAUCUCUAGCUGGUCUGAGAGGAUGAUGAACCACACUGGGACUUAACCACGGCCCAGACUCCUACGGAGGCAGCAGUGGGAAACAUUGCACAAUGGGCGCAAGCCUGAUGCAGCCAUGCCGAGUGUAUGAAGAAGGCCUUAGGGUUGUAAGGUACUUUCGGUAGCGAGGCGUUAACUACAGAAGAAGCACCGGCUAACUCCGUGCCAGCAGCCGCGGUAAUUC